rnacentral:misc_RNA from 1 species
UUUCCGUAGGUGAACCUGCGGAAGGAUUAUUACUGAGUGAGGGCCCCUCGGGGUCCAACCUCCCACCCGUGUUUAACGAACCUUGUUGCUUCGGCGGGCCCGCCUCACGGCCGCCGGGGGGCAUCUGCCCCCGGGCCCGCGCCCGCCGAAGCCACCUGUGAACGCUGUCUGAAGUAUGCAGUCUGAGACAAUUAUUAAAUUAAUUAAAACUUUCAACAACGGAUCUCUUGGUUCCG